AAAUGUAGAAUAGUUUAAGUUGAAUUUUAUUUUAUUUCUGAACUGUUAUUGUAUUUUGUUUUCACAACUCUUUCACACUUUUCAAAAUGUAAAAUGAUAAUGACAUUUUUAAAUGUUUAUUUUUCUGUUAAAUUAUGUCGGUUUCAAAUGUUUUCAAUUAUCUUAAAGCUGCUUAAACUGUAAAGAAUCACAUUACAGAAGAAAUAAAGAUGCAAUUAUGUUUGUUUAUGAGUAAAUUAUAAAAGUCUAUUUUAGACAGUAUAUCUUUCAUCCAUUUAAAGCUUAGAUAAAAGAUCUACACAUUUGAAUGAACUUUUUUAAUAAGAACCAUAAUUAACAGUGAUGAGUGUCGGUAUAUAAUUCUGAUAUGUUACAUUUUAGAACAGAAGGUAUAAAGUUAGUACCAUCAGGGUACCAGUAUUUAUAUUUGACAUUCCACAUUGUAAAUAGCUUAGUUUUCCACCAUGUAUGAAAGAUCCGUCCAUAGUAUCUUAAUGUCAUGAGUGACUGUUUCUUUGUUUUGUCUUUCUACAUUAAAUGUCUUUUAUGUCAA
rnacentral:lncRNA from 1 species